AAUUGAAAUCGCAGUGAAGAUGCUGUGUACCCGCGGCUAGACGGAAAGACCCCGUGAACCUUUACUACAGCUUGGCACUGAACAUUGAACCUACAUGUGUAGGAUAGGUGGGAGACUUAGAAGCAGAGACGCUAGUUUUUGUGGAGUCGUCCUUGAAAUACCACCCUUGUAGUUUUGAUGUUCUAACGUUGGCCCCUGAAUCGGGGUUACGGACAGUGCCUGGUGGGUAGUUUGACUGGGGCGGUCUCCUCCCAAAGAGUAACGGAGGAGCACGAAGGUUGGCUAAGUACGGUCGGACAUCGUACGGUUAGUGUAAUGGUAGAAGCCAGCUUAACUGCGAGACAGACACGUCGAGCAGGUACGAAAGUAGGUCAUAGUGAUCCGGUGGUUCUGAAUGGAAGGGCCAUCGCUCAACGGAUAAAAGGUACUCCGGGGAUAACAGGCUGAUACCGCCCAAGAGUUCAUAUCGACGGCGGUGUUUGGCACCUCGAUGUCGGCUCAUCACAUCCUGGGGCUGAAGUCGGUCCCAAGGGUAUGGCUGUUCGCCAUUUAAAGUGGUACGCGAGCUGGGUUUAGAACGUCGUGAGACAGUUCGGUCCCUAUCUGCCGUGGGCGUUUGAGAAUUGAGAGGGGUUGCUCCUAGUACGAGAGGACCGGAGUGAACGAACCGCUGGUGUUCGGGUUGUCAUGCCAAUGGCAUUGCCCGGUAGCUACGUUCGGAACUGAUAAGCGCUGAAAGCAUCUAAGCGCGAAGCAGGCCUCGAGAUGAGUUCUCACUAGACUUUUAAAGUCUCUGAAGGGCCGUUGAAGACUACAACGUUGAUAGGCAAGAUGUGGAAGUGGUGUGAGCCAUUAAGCUAACUUGUACUAAUUACCCGUGAGGCUUAACCAUACAACGCCAAACGCGUUU
rnacentral:rRNA from 1 species